UACGUAGGAUGCAAGAGUUGUCCGGUUUUAUUGGGUUUAAAGGGUGCGUAGGCGGCUUAUUAAGUUAGUGGUGAAAACGUUCGGCUUAACCGGAUACCCGCCAUUGAUACUGAUAGACUUGAGUGCGACAGAGGGUGUUGGAAUGUGUGGUGUAGCGGUGAAAUGCUUAGAUAUCACGCAGAACACCAAUUGCGAAGGCAGAUGCCUAUGUCGUAACUGACGAUGAGGCACGAAAGCGUGGGGAGCAAACAGG
rnacentral:rRNA from 1 species